rnacentral:lncRNA from 1 species
AAUAUUUCUCUCUCUAUUUUGUACACUCGCCUCUCUCUCUCUCUCUCUCUCUCUCUCAUCGUUCACGAAAGUGAAAUUAAUGUUGAUCAUCAAAUCUCAUACUCACAAUUCUUGAAACCCCCACUUUCUCUUCUCACACACUGAUCAGCCCUCACACAGCUUAACUAAUUCAACCCAUUUCAAUCUUUCAGCUCAAGUGGCUAUAAAUAUUUUUCCACUCUUCGAGAAUUUAAUUCCAUCGAGCUCAUUACCGGCCGGAUAUAUAGAUCCACAGCUCAAACUCUCUUCAAGCUGAUCACCAUUUCAAAAAUCCUUAAACUAUGAGAGAUCAAUCCUCACAUAACUGAAAAAGCCAGUUUCCAAUUCUGAUAAACAAAUUGUGUCAAGUAAUUUGAUAAUUCAAUGAACAACAGAGGAGAGAGAAAGCUAUGGCGCCGAAGUUCAGUCAGUGAAAUUAAGUGACAGCUCCAAAACCCUGAUUUCUCCAUCGUUUUCCAUCAGGUACUUGCAGAGGUACGCCGAUUAAAUGAAUCUCUUUCCCAUUAACUUCACUUUCUCUGUCUUCGAAUUAAAUGCUUCUUCUUUUUUUCAUCGAGCUGCGAGCACCCUAUGCAACAGUAAUCUGGUGCUUCUCCAACUAUAGUACUCUCUCCAAUCAUGAUGUCACAGUUGAUGUCAAAUUUCAAUAGAGAACAAACAUGUAAACUGAUAUUCCCACACACACAAGUAACUCACUAUUCAUAACAAAGAAUAUCAAUUUUAUAUAUAAAAAUAUCAGUCCCAAUAAACAUUAANNNNNNNNNNNNNNNNNNNNNNNNNNNNNNNNNNNNNNNNNNNNNNNNNNNNNNNNNNNNNNNNNNNNNNNNNNNNNNNNNNNNNNNNNNNNNNNNNNNNAUAUAUAUAUAUAUAUAUAUAUAUAUAUAUAUAUGUGAUUGUUACUUCUUUCUUCUUUUUUCUAAAAAGAAGCAUACUAAAUACAAUCAUUGAAAUAAUAAAUACUUCUAUUUUUUUAUGUUUGGUGCGAAUAAAUAAUUAUAUUUAUAUAAUAGCAUAAUAAAUCCCGUAUUCCAUAGUUUUUGUUCAUCUUCAUCGAUACUCCAUAUUCCAUAGUUUAAUUUGUCCUCAAAAAUAGUAUUCCAUCUGUUUCACAAGUCUUAUUUACAAAAUUUAUAAAUACGAGGAAUAAUAUUUAUUUUAUACCAUGUAUUUUUAAAAGUAAUAUGUUGUUAGUGUAGUAAUAUGGUAUAAUUUUAAAAUUAAAACUAUUUUAUUUUAUAUUAAAAAAAGAACCCAGCCACUUGCUCAGAGGUAGACGACUUGGCCUAGGUUCAAUAUUUACCUUCUCCCGAAUUAUCAAAAAAAAUAAAAUUCAACUACUAAUGGAGGAUAUAACUAUUUAAAAAUUCAAGUAGGAAUUCGAACAAAUUCGACUACUAGUUGGAGGAUAUGCUUUGCCGACGAAAAAGGGAUUUGAUCCUCUCCAGCGUCAGCGUGUACCAAAGGACUGGACCCUCCGUCUAAUAAACAAGAAAAUUGUCAUGUGAUGUGGGUGGCCAUGCAAAGAAUGAAGGUGGGAUCAUCUCCGUCUAUCUAAUAAACAUAAAUAUUACUAAAAAAAAGUUUUUUAAAAAUAAAUAUAGUAUUUUCAGCCAAGUAUGUCUUUCUGCUUAAGAAGAAGUACAGUUGAUUACAGUCCAUAUUUACUGUAAUACGUAAUCAGACGGUCAAGAUCUCAUCAGGUUGUCUGAGCUACCGACUGCCGACACAGGGUUGGUGGGUCCCGGUGUGUCGAGUGCGAUAAGGUCUUACUUUCCAAACGUCAUUAUAUUCAAAAUCUAUGAAGCAAAUCUGAAUACCCAAGCCAGCACUGUCAUCACCUAGCUUACUUUUAAGCUACGGAUUUUAAACCGUUACCAUAUGAAUCAUUAUAAAUUUGAAAUCUUUGUCAUUGUAUGAUAAAAAUAAUACUCAAACAGGCAAGGAAACUGAUUACAACAUUAAAAAUGAUGUUUUAAUCAUGCAGAAAAUUAUGGGUUUACUGAUUUUGUACUCCCUCCUCCUCGUUCCAAAAUAAGUUAUUACAUUUUGAAAACAACUAUUUUUAAAGAUAAAUUAUGGUCUUAAAUCUACUCAUAAUAUUAGUUUUAAUACUAGUAGUUUGAUGUUAGAAAUAAUAGUAUAAAAUAAAAAAUUUAAAACGGAUAAAAAAAUAUAUCUUUACAUUUAGAACAUGGCGAUUAACUCAGCUUGUGGUAGCUUAAGUUAGUUAGGGGGUCACUUUCGGGUUUGUGGGUGGGUUGCUUUUAAUGAGGUGGGUGAUGGGAGUUGAUUUUUUUUUUUUAAUCGAGUAUAAAUAGAAGAUGCACUAGCUGAUUUCUUAUUUAAUUAAUAAUUGCUUUCAUAAGUAUGUCUGGCAUUACACUUAUUGUCCUUUUUUUCACUGGUAAUGGAUUGAUGGGAGUGGCCAACUUUUAAUAAUUAAUCUUUUGAUACUCUUUGGUCUGCUUCUGCUAUCACUACACUUCCAAUCCUUUAAGGUAUUUCCAGUCGAUCUUAACUUCAAUUCUCAUUCCAGUGUAGUUUCCAACAAAUUUACAAGUGAUGCUGGUUUUGUACAUGCUACUAAAGAGGACAAACAUAUGAAUUUCCAAUGCUUUUUGGAGUUCAAAGCAAACUUGGUGUUUUUGUUUCCUGACAGCUCCUUUCCUUUCCCCAUGCGCACUUGUUUCAAAAUAUAAGUUUGUUCUGAGGUUUAGACUUUUCAAAUAGGGAUUAGUUUAGGCUGACCAGCCAUCUUUAUAAUCUUGUGUGACUAUACCUAUCUAAUUUUUUAGUGACAGUACUUGGGUAUGUCUUGUUGUUUGGAC